AUUCUUGGAAUAAAUGCAAUUUCUCCUUUCGCUAACCUAUGAAUAAUUACAAUAACAAAAUGAGAGAAAUAAAUUUACAAUACAGUUUUACAAUCAUAAAAGGACUUAGAAAUUUAUCACACAAAAAAUGAUAUAACUUAAAAUAAAAAAUGAUUACAAAUUUAA